rnacentral:misc_RNA from 1 species
AAAGAGUCAGAGCUAGGCUGCUGCAUUCUUUAUAUACUUCAGAAUGACAAAAAAGUAUCAUUUAAUUCUUCCUUUUCCGUGGUACAAGGAAUUGACAAAUUGGAUGUUCCUGGAAUCUGAAUGCACAAUCUUUGUGAAAAAAAGAACAUUACUAAAUAGGUGUUGGAGUCCGUGCAAAACACAUUCCUGUGCGCAGAGAGAGAGA